ensembl:lncRNA
AUGCCUAUGAUGAUGCUUUUUGCUGAAGAAAAGCUUGUUGGUAGAUGUUCAUGUCUCUGUUUUCAUCUCUCAGAAGGCGACAAACCAGAGCCCAAGCUGCAAGGGCAGCAGCAGGAGAAAAGUGGGGUUACAGAUGAGAUACCUCUCAACCUCUUUUUUUCACUUGACCAUCCCCAGAGAAGCCUUUCUCCUCACCAGCUGCUCCUCCAGCUUCCGGUGCCAAGACCCUGCUGGACAGUGUGGAGAAGAUGAAGAACUCCCCAAGCCCACCAGCCCUCACAGACCCAGCUGGAGUAGCAAGUGCUGGGGUGCCUUCCCCACUGAAGCCAGGCAGACCACCCAUUGCCACAGGACAUUUUUUAUUUUCAGACAUUAUUUUCUCUGAAAUGUUUGACCUUUAAUUCCUUUAGAUGAAUGUUGUUAUGUAUGUAAUUCUAUAAAAUAAUCUUAGUGUAGUUAGUUUGAUAUGACAUUAAAUCUGUUAACUAAUUUAAGUGCUGUCAUUAUUUCUUAUUAUGAAGACGUCUGAGUGUGAAUUGUUGAGGAGCUGCUAAGAUUUUAUAUACAUUUUGUAACUACAUUGAAUGGAAUUUCUUUUUCUGUCUCCUGCUGAGUUUUGUCACUAACUUAAAGAGAAAAUGGGCUUUGUAAAUAUCCUGAAAUUUUCUGAACUUGUAAAUUUCUUUGAUUAACAUUUUCAUUGAAGCUAUUAUAUUAUCUGCAAAUAGAGGUGAUUGUGCCUCUUCUUUGCUUGAGCUGAUUCCUUCCAUUUCUUUGUCUUUUUUUUUUCACCCUGGUAAUGGCCAGCAUUUCUAGAACUAUAUCAAAUAGUACUGGUGACAAUGGCCAUCUUUUCAUUGCUCUUGAUCUUAUUGAAAGACUUUUUUUUGGUACUUAAUAGUAUUUUUUUUCCAGUUACAUGUAAAGAUAAUUUUCAACAUUCAUUUUUGUAAGAUUAUUUUUUUUCCUUUUUGGUGAGGUGAUCGGGGUUAAGUGACUUGCCCAGGAUCACACAGCUAGUAAGUGUCAAGUGUCUCAGGCCAGAUUUAAACUCAGGUCCUCUUGACUCCAAGGACAGAGCUCUAUCUUUUGUAAGAUUUUGAGUUCCAAAUUUUUCUCCUCUAUCCCUUGCUCCCCCCACCCAAGACAGCAAGCAAUCAGAUAUAGUUUAUAUAUAUACAAUCAUGUUAAACAUAUUUCCACGUUAGUCAUGUUCUUUCUCUAGACGUGGACAGCAUUUUCCAUCACGCGUCUUUUGGAGUUGUCUUGGAUCACUGUAUUGCUGACAAGAGCUAAGUCAUUCAUAGGUGAUCAUUACACAAUGUUGCUUUUACUGUGCACAACGUUCUCCUGGUUCUGCCUACCUCACUCAGCAUCAGUUCAUGUAAGUCUUUCCAGGUUUUUCUGAAGUCUGCCUGCUCAUCAUUUCUUAUAGAGCAAUAGUGUUCCAUUACAUUCAUAUACCACAUCUUGUUCAGCCAUUCUCCAAUUGAUGGGCAUCCCCACAAUUUCCAAUUCUUUGCCACCACAAAAAGAGUUGCUAUAAAUAUUUUUGUAUAUGUGAGUCCUUUCCCUUUUUUAUAAUCUCUUUGGCAUACAGACCCAGUGCUAUUGCUGGAUCAAAGGAUAUGCAGAGUUUGAUUGCCCUUUGAGCAUAGUUCCAAAUUACUCUCCAGAAUAGUUGAAUCAGUUCAUAACUCCACCAACAAUGCAUUAGUGUUCCAAUUUUCCCAUACCUCCAACAUUUAUCACUUUCCCUUUCUGCUAUAUUAGCUAUAUUAGGCGUGAGGUGGUACCUCUGAGUUGCUUUACUUUACGUUUCUCUAAUAUAAUGCUUUGUGGAGUGGUCAUCUGUUCUAGUUGCCUCCAAACACAGGCAGCAUAUUUUUUUCUGACCUAUCCCUGCCCAUGCUGAGAAGUUGCAAGUUUGUUCACCCGUGAUUGUGUGGAUUUUAUUGGCAGGUCUUUCCUAGUGUCUGUUGGUUUCUACCAGACUUUCUCUUUAGUUUUAGGGUAGAAGUAGUCACUUUCUGUAAUUUCCCAUUGGAUUUCUUGAUCUUUAGUCAGUCUGGUAUGAACUGUAGGUUUUGGCUGGACUCAGUUUGGGGGAGCUAAGGUUUCUGCCUCUGAUCAGACAGCCGUCUUGGCCAGAAGUUAACCAGAAAGUAUUUAAAAGAGAAAGGAAAAGCUGUGAUGACUAAUUGGAUGUGAGGAGGAGAGUGGGAUAAGUUAAAGAUGACCCAUACUUGGGCGAGUUGAAGGAUAAUGAAGUAAUUGGCAAAAGGGGAGUCAAAAGAAGAAAUGUGGUGGUGGUGGUGGUGAUAAGUUCAGUGUCAGACUAGCAGUUUCUGCAUCUGUACAAUGAGCUGAAGAAGGAAAUGGCAAAUCACUCCCAUAUCUUCGCCAAGAAAAUUCCAAAUGGGGUAACAAAGUCAGACACACCUGAAAUAACUAAACAACAAUAAGCAGGUCUUGACCUGAAGUCUGUAAAUUCAUUUUAAGAAGAUAAUUUGAUAACUAUAUUUAAUAUAAUUGCUUCUCUUUCUAAUCCUAUGUAUUUUAUAUGUAUAUGCAUUUAUAAACACGAUAUUAAGAAGGGGUUCAUAGGCUUCACCAUACUGCCACAGGGACACAGGCACCCAUGACAUAUAGGUUUAGACAAUGAAUUUGAGAUGCUGGCAGAACACCUGGGUGUUUUUCAAUAGUUUAUUGGAAAUGUAGUACUGGAGGUAUAGAGUUGGGAACCAUCAGUAUAAAGGAGAUAAUGGAAGGACAAUCUGAACAUGGAAACCAGCUCAUGCCUAUGCAGCAUAGCAGCUGAGAGGUAAGAGGACACUGCUGGGAUUGUGUUGGGUAAGAGGAAAGGAAACCAGCCUGGAGUUGAAAUCUUUCUGAGUUGGACAAGAACUUUCUGGGUUAUGAAAAGAAAACAUUUGUGUGCACGCAUGCAUUUGUGUGUGUGUGUGUGUGUGUGUGUGUGUGUGUGUGUGUGUGUGUGUUGUUGAAGUCAUAUGGUAAAAAGAAUAGGAGUACAAGAAGAAUGGAGGAAAGCCAUUUCCAUGCUACAAGUAUGAAUGGAAGUAUGGUGAUUAGGAGGCAGAGGCUGUGCUAAGGAAUAUAGCCCUGCCACAGCCACAACACAGUCUGGGCCAAGUGUUUGCCAAGUAGGGCAGAGGACAUCAUUGCUUUUUCAGUGCUAUCUCAAACACAAUUCAUGCUGUCCUUGGACCCAACCCCUAGAUUAGAGAUUUUUGACCUUUUUAUGUCAUGGAUCACUUUGACCAUCUGGGGAAGCCCACGGACCCUUUUUGGAAUCAUGUUUUUAAAUGCAGAAACCAAUUAUGCCAAUACACAGUAGCAAAAAAUUCAAGCAAGAAGUUUAGCCACCCCAAGUUAAAAACUCUUGCUCCAGAGCAAUUCUAUUCUAUCUCAAGAUUUCUAACUGUUUCAUAAGACAUAGUCCUAUUUUUCUGGUGGCUAAGAAUCAGAAAUUUAGGGGAUGCUCAUCAAUUGAAGAUUGGCUAAAAAAGCUGUGGUAUAUGAUUGUAAUGGAAUAUUAUUGUGCUAUAAGACAUGACAGUCAGGAUGAUUUCAAAAAACCUGGAAAGACUUGCAUGAACUGAUACAAAGUGAAAUGAACAGAACCAGGAGAACUUUAUACACAGUAACAGCAAUACUGUUCAGUGAAGAAUGGUGAAUGACUUAGCUAUUCUCAGCAAUACAAUGAUCCAAGAAAAUCCCAAAGAAGUAAUAAUGUUGCAUGUACUAUCCACCUCCAGAGAAAGAAACUGAUAUUGUUUAAAUACAAACUGAAGCGUGCUAUUUUUUACUUUCUUUCAUUUUUCUUUUAUUUGAGUCUUCUUGUACAAAAUAACUAAUUUAGAAAUGUUUUACACAAUUGCACGUGUUUAACCCGUAUCUGAUUGCUUACUCUCAGAGAGGAGAAGAGGAAGAAGGGAGGAACAGGAUUUGGAACUCAAAAAUUAAAAAAACUCUCCAAAUAUUAAAAAAUUGUUUUACCAUGUAAUUGGGGAGGGUGGCAUGGAGUAAAAUAUAUUUAAAAAUAAAAUAAAUUGGGUGAUUGAAAAAAAAUAAGAU